rnacentral:rRNA from 1 species
UACGGGGGGGGCAAGCGUUGUUCGGAAUUACUGGGCGUAAAGGGCUCGUAGGCGGCCAACUAAGUCAGACGUGAAAUCCCUCGGCUUAACCGGGGAACUGCGUCUGAUACUGGAUGGCUUGAGUUUGGGAGAGGGAUGCGGAAUUCCAGGUGUAGCGGUGAAAUGCGUAGAUAUCUGGAGGAACACCGGUGGCGAAGGCGGUGGUCUGGGCCGGAACUGACGCUGAGGAGCGAAAGCGUGGGGAGCAAACAGG